rnacentral:rRNA from 1 species
CCUACGGGAGGCAGCAGUGGGGAAUAUUGCGCAAUGGGGGCAACCCUGACGCAGCAACGCCGCGUGAUUGAAGAAGGUCCUCGGGUUGUAAAGAUCUUUAAUUGGGGACGAAAACAAUGACGGUACCCAAAGAAUAAGCUUCGGCUAACCACGUGCCAGCAGCCGCGGGAAUACGUAGGGAGCAAGCGUUAUCCGGAUUUACUGGGUGUAAAGGGGGAGUAGGCGGGUUGGCAAGUUGGGAGUGAAAUCCCGGGGCUUAAACCCGGAACUGCUUUCAAAACUGCUGGUCUUGAGUGAGGGAGAGGCAGGCGGAAUGCCGGGUGUAGCGGUGAAAUGCAUAGAUAUACGGCGGAACACCAGUGGCGAAGGCGGCCUGCUGGACAUUAACUGACGCUGAGGAGCGAAAGCGUGGGGAGCGAACAGGAUUAGAUACCCUAGUAGUC